AAAAGUGCUACGGGACUGGUAGAUGAUGGACUUAUGGCGCAUUAGCUGGUUGGUAGGGUAACGGCCUACCAAGGCGACGAUGCGUAGCCGACCUGAGAGGGUGACCGGCCACACUGGGACUGAGACACGGCCCAGACUCCUACGGGAGGCAGCAGUAGGGAAUUUUCGGCAAUGGGGGAAACCCUGACCGAGCAACGCCGCGUGAAGGAAGAAGUAAUUCGUUAUGUAAACUUCUGUCAUAGAGGAAGAACGGUGGAUAUAGGGGAAUGAUAUCCAAGUGACGGUACUCUAUAAGAAAGCCACGGCUAACUACGUGCCAGCAGCCGCGGUAAUACGUAGGUGGCGAGCGUUAUCCGGAAUUAUUGGGGCGUAAAGAGGGAGCAGGCGGCACUAAGGGUCUGUGGUGAAAGAUCGAAGCUUAACUUCGGUAAGCCAUGGAAACCGUAGAGCUAGAGUGUGUGAGAGGAUCGUGGAAUUCCAUGUGUAGCGGUGAAAUGCGUAGAUAUAUGGAGGAACACCAGUGGCGAAG
rnacentral:rRNA from 1 species